GAUGAACGCUGGCGGCGUGCUUAACACAUGCAAGUCGAACGAAGCACUUUAUUUGAUUUCCUUCGGGACUGAUUAUUUUGUGACUGAGUGGCGGACGGGUGAGUAACGUGUGGGUAACCUGCCUUGUACAGGGGGAUAACAGUUGGAAACGGCUGCUAAUACCGCAUAAGCGCACAGCGUCGCAUGCUGCAGUGUGAAAAACUCUGGUGGUAUAAGAUGGACCCGCGUUGGAUUAGCUAGUUGGUGAGGUAACGGCCCACCAAGGCGACGAUCCAUAGCCGACCUGAGAGGGUGACCGGCCACAUUGGGACUGAGACACGGCCCAAACUCCUACGGAAGGGAGCAGUGGGGAAUAUUGCACAAUGGGCGAAAGCCUGAUGCAGCGACGCCGCGUGAGCGAAGAAGUAUUUCGGUAUGUAAAGCUCUAUCAGCAGGGAAGAUAAUGACGGUACCUGACUAAGAAGCACCGGCUAAAUACGUG
rnacentral:rRNA from 1 species